CCACAAGGGUUAGGCCACCGGCUUCAGGUGUUACCGACUUUCAUGACUUGACGGGCGGUGUGUACAAGACCCGGGAACGUAUUCACCGCAGCGUUGCUGAUCUGCGAUUACUAGCGACUCCGACUUCAUGAGGUCGAGUUGCAGACCUCAAUCCGAACUGGGACCGGCUUUUUGGGAUUCGCUCCACCUCACGGUAUUGCAGCCCUUUGUACCGGCCAUUGUAGCAUGCGUGAAGCCCAAGACAUAAGGGGCAUGAUGAUUUGACGUCAUCCCCACCUUCCUCCGAGUUGACCCCGGCAGUAUCCCAUGAGUUCCCACCAUUACGUGCUGGCAACAUAGAACGAGGGUUGCGCUCGUUGCGGGACUUAACCCAACAUCUCACGACACGAGCUGACGACAACCAUGCACCACCUGUUUACGAGUGUCCAAAGAGUUGACCAUUUCUGGCCCGUUCUCGUAUAUGUCAAGCCUUGGUAAGGUUCUUCGCGUUGCAUCGAAUUAAUCCGCAUGCUCCGCCGCUUGUGCGGGUCCCCGUCAAUUCCUUUGAGUUUUAGCCUUGCGGCCGUACUCCCCAGGCGGGGAACUUAAUGCGUUAGCUGCGUCACGGAAUCCGUGGAAUGGACCCCACAACUAGUUCCCAACGUUUACGGGGUGGACUACCAGGGUAUCUAAGCCUGUUUGCUCCCCACCCUUUCGCUCCUCAGCGUCAGUUACGGCCCAGAGAUCUGCCUUCGCCAUCGGUGUUCCUCCUGAUAUCUGCGCAUUCCACCGCUACACCAGGAAUUCCAAUCUCCCCUACCGCACUCUAGUCUGCCCGUACCCACUGCAGCCCGAGGUUGAGCCUCGGGAUUUCACAGCAGACGCGACAAACCGCCUACGAGCUCUUUACGCCCAAUAAUUCCCGGAUAACGCUUGCGCCCUACGUAUUACCGCGGCUGCUGGCACG
rnacentral:rRNA from 1 species